CCUACGAGAGGCAGCAGUGAGGAAUAUUGGUCAAUGGACGAGAGUCUGAACCAGCCACGUAGCGUGAAGGAUGACUGCCCUAUGGGUUGUAAACUUUUUUUAUAUGGGAAUAAAAUGUUCCACGUGUGGGAUUUUGUAUGUACCAUAUGAAUACGGAACGGCUAAGUCCGCGCCGGCAGCCGCGGUAAUACGGAGGAUCCGAGCGUUAUCCGGAUUUAUUGGGUUUAAAGGGAGCGUAGGUGGAUUGUUAAGUCAGUUGUGAAAGUUUGCGGCUCAACCGUACAAUUGCAGUUGAAACUGGGAGUCUUGAGUACAGUAGAGGUGGGCGGAAUUCGUGGUGUAGCGGUGAAAUGCGUAGAUAUCACGAAGAACUCCGAUUGCGAAGGCAGUUCACUGGACUGCAACUGACGCUGAGGCUCGAAAGUGUGGGUAUCAAACAGGAUUAGAUACCCCGGUAGUC
rnacentral:rRNA from 1 species